CGUUAUCCAUGAUAUGUGCUAAGAGUUAAGAACUCGUCUUGUAGGAAUUGGUCCGUAGGACGGUGCCACAGCUUAAGAUCACCUCUCUUCCACACUAAGGAUCAGGUUGAUGGCUGGUGUUGAUGGGGAGAGCUGAGGCUAGGGUUCAACUCCGUGUUUUGACUUUCGCUGUAGUACUAGCCUUUAUCUGUCUUUCGUUCUCUUGACUUAAGACCUUUAUGUUAUAACUCUAAACGAUAUCUUUUGUUGAGCCUAGACUUUUGACUCUCAAGUAUUUUGAUUAAGGAAUGUUGGUUAUCUGAAGCAUGAAACUAAACUUGUGAUCCUGACGUUUGUCAUGUUUGUUGACUGAUUUGUAUCAAUUGGAUACUUGUC